CUGGUUGAUCCUGCCAGACCCGACUGCUAUCAGAGUGGGACUAAGCCAUGCGAGUCAACGUAGCAAUACGUGGCAUACGGCUCAGUAACACGUAGUCAACAUGCCCAGGGGACGUGGAUAACCUCGGGAAACUGAGGAUAAACCGCGAUAAGCCAUGAUUUCUGGAAUGAUUCAUGACUAAAACCUAUAUGGCCCCUGGAUUGGACUGCGGCCGAUCAGGCUGUUGGUGAGGUAAUGGCCCACCAAACCUAUUACCGGUACGGGCUCUGAGAGGAGGAGCCCGGAGAUGGGCACUGAGACAAGGGCCCAGGCCCUAUGGGGCGCAGCAGGCGCGAAACCUCUGCAAUAGGCGAAAGCUUGACAGGGUUACUCUGAGUGAUUUCCGCUAAGGGAAUCUUUUGGCACCUCUAAAAAUGGUGCAGAAUAAGGGGUGGGCAAGUCUGGUGUCAGCCGCCGCGGUAAUACCAGCACCCCGAGUGGUCGGGACGAUUAUUGGGCCUAAAGCAUCCGUAGCCGGUCCUGCAAGUCUUCCGUUAAAUCCAGCUGCUUAACAGAUGGGCCGCAGGAGAUACUACAGGGCUAGGAGGCGGGAGAGGCAAGCGGUACUUUAUGGGUAGGGGUAAAAUCCGCUGAUCCAUAGAAGACCACCAGUGGCGAAGGCGGGUUGCCAGAACGCGCUCGACGGUGAGGGAUGAAAGCU
rnacentral:rRNA from 1 species